GGAGAGGUCGCGUAGUCCGGCUUAGCGCGCACGCUUGGAGAGCGUGUGUACCGUAAGGUACCGUGGGUUCGAAUCCCACCCUCUCCGCCU
rnacentral:tRNA from 1 species